GGCGGCAUUCUCAUACAUGCAAGUCGAACGCCCCUUCGGGGGAGUGGCAGACGGGUGAGUAACACGUGGGAACCUACCCAAAGGUUCGGAAUAACUCAGGGAAACUUGAGCUAAUACCGGAUAAGCCUUACGAGGGAAAGAUUUAUCGCCUUUGGAUGGGCCCGCGGCAGAUUAGUUUGUUGGUGGGGUAAUGGCCUACCAAGACUACGAUCUGUAGCUGGUUUGAGAGGAUGAUCAGCCACACUGGGACUGAGACACGGCCCAGACUCCUACGGGAGGCAGCAGUAGGGAAUCUUG
rnacentral:rRNA from 1 species